UGGGGAAUCUUGCACAAUGGGGGCAACCCUGAUGCAGCGACGCCGCGUGAGCGAUGAAGCCCUUCGGGGCGUAAAGCUCUUUCGACCGGAACGAUAAUGACGGUACCCGCAGAAAAAGCCCCGGCUAACUUCGUGCCAGCAGCCGCGGUAAUACGAAGGGGGCUAGCGUUGCUCGGAAUUACUGGGCGUAAAGCGCACGUAGGCGGACUCUUAAGUCGGUGGUGAAAUCCUGGAGCUCAACUCCAGAACUGCCUUCGAUACUGGGAGUCUUGAGUUCGGGAGAGGUGAGUGGAACUGCGAGUGUAGAGGUGAAAUUCGUAGAUAUUCGCAAGAACACCAGUGGCGAAGGCGGCUCACUGGCCCGAUACUGACGCUGAGGUGCGAAAGCGUGGGGAGCAAACA
rnacentral:rRNA from 1 species